AACACAGUGGUCUGAUGAACCAAGAGGAGCUUCCACUCACAUGGUGUGAUUAUCAGGUGAAGUGGUGAGAACAUCAUCAAGCUUUGAGCAGGAUCCAUCGCUUCCAUAUCUGCGCUUCCAAGCCAUUUUUAAUGGUGUGCAUUCAUGUCUCCAAGGAUAAUGAUCUCUUCUCUUGGGUGUAGAUCCCCAGCUGGAACCAUCGGAAAGAAAGAAUGCAUGAGGGAUUCCUGUGGUGAGAAAGUUCACAACCAGUUGCCAACCUCCUGAUAUUUAGUGAAGGAUUUGUCUUUUGGGGAUUUCUUCCGAUGUUGCCACUACAUAAUAAGAGCAACAAAAAUAAUUGUAAAGAGAGAAAAAACAAAAUCGUAGUUAUUCGUUCCAUCAAUCGUCAAAAUAAAAGGAGUUUACAAGGCUUUUUUUGUAUGGAAUGUAAUAAUAGUAAUAGACGGAGUGGGCUAUCAACCAGGGCUGGACGAUUAUGGCAAAAAUAAUAACCACGAUUAUUUUUAUUGAUAUUGUAAUCACGAUUAAUAACACGAUUGUUCAUUAAUUUGAAAACAUGAGUAUUUAUUAUACCACCAAAACUAAAAAAAAUGUAUAUACAUUUGUAACAAAUAAACAAGUAAAAGAAUAAGAAUACCCGAAAUAACAAUAGAUUUAAAUAACAAAAGCAAUAUAAAAAACAAUACAAUUAAUUUUUUCCUUUUUAAUUGUCUUUGAUCCCGUUUUUUUACCUUUUACACUUAUUUUACCACCAUAG